GACGGAGGGUGCAAGCGUUGUUCGGAUUGACUGGGCGUAAAGGGCGUGUAGGCGGUUGCCCCAAGUCCGUUGUGAAAGCCCGAGGCUCAGCCUCGGAAGUGCAUCGGAAACUAGGCAGCUGGAGCGCGAUAGAGGAGGGUAGAAUUCCUGGUGUAGCGGUGAAAUGCGUAGAUAUCAGGAGGAAUACCGGCGGCGAAGGCGGCCCUCUGGAUCGUUGCUGACGCUGAGACGCGAAAGCGUGGGGGAGCAAACAGG
rnacentral:rRNA from 1 species